UAGCCCACACCUGCUCUGGAACUCAGGAAACUGUGUCCAACAUGGUCAGGACUCUUCUCCUUCUUAUGAUGCUCACUCACUGCCCAGGGUCCUUUUCCCAACCUGUGCUGACUCAGCCACCCUCUGCAUCUGCCUCCCUGGGACAAAUCACCAAAUUCAUCUGUACCCUGAGCAGUGGCUACAGUAACUACUAUGUGGACUGGUACCAGCAAAGCCCAGGGAAGAGCCCCUGGUUUGUGAUGGAAGUGGGCACUAGUGGAAAUGUGGGAUCCAAGGGGAAUGGGAUUCCUGAUCGCUUCUUAGGCUCAGGCUCGGGCCUGGAUUGGUACCUGACCAUCCAGAACAUUCAGGAAGAGGAUGAGAAUGUCUACUACUGUGGGGCAGCCCAUGGCAGUGGGAGCAGCUACGUGCAACACACAGUGACACAGGCAAAGGAGAAGUUAGACAAAAACCUCCAGGCUGAUGGGCCCUGUUAUACUUCUCUUCCUAGUGUCCUGACUCGUAGUUCAUAA